AUAUGAAAAUUUGGGUUCUGAAGUAUUUUUGAAAGAAAAAUCGAAAACUGGGAGUUAAAACGCAACUAAAGAAAAUUACGCCACGUAGAACUUCCCAGUCAGCAGCCCCGACGAAUCGGAGCGCUUCGCGUGGCAAGGCAUGCUGACUUGGUACCACGCGGGAGGCCACGAUGGCAAUCCAUGUACCCGCAAUCGAACGGUCCGGAUGCGUUCCUACGCGCGUGGACGGCCUGAAUCCGUUCCCUCCUCAAGCGUGAUUAGAUGGUCGCGAUUAAACGAGAUGAAUGGUUCAGAUUUAAGGGAGACGGGUAUAAAUAUCUCGCAUCAUACCAAACCCAAACCCUAAUCGCCAACCUCCCAUUAGAGAAGAAGAACCAGUUACUGGAGAAAAGAGCCAACUG
rnacentral:lncRNA from 1 species